rnacentral:rRNA from 1 species
UACGUAGGGUGCGAGCGUUGUCCGGAAUUAUUGGGCGUAAAGAGCUCGUAGGCGGCUUGUCGCGUCGAAUGUGAAAACUCGGGGCUCAACUCCGAGCUUGCAUUCGAUACGGGCAGGCUAGAGUUCGGUAGGGGAGACUGGAAUUCCUGGUGUAGCGGUGAAAUGCGCAGAUAUCGGGAGGAACACCAAUGGCGAAGGCAGCUUGCUGGGACGUAACUGACGCUGAGGAGCGAAAGCGUGGGGAGCGAACAGG